UCUCUAGUAUGAACUGUCUUUGUGAUUCUUUGAAAACUCCAACAGCCACUAGAGAGAGAAAACAAAAAGAUCAGUGUGUCCAACGAGCAUUAAUUUUCGGCGCCGGAAGAAGACCGGUAGUGUAGUUCCUUAGGAGUUAGAAGUUUUGAGGAGAUCCUUCGAUAGUCUGGAAGAUAGUGCGGUAUGGAUGGACUUCUCUGUUGGUGGUUAGUUUGAUGGGCUUGACAAAGAUCUUUAUUUCUUUUUGGUGUGUGGUGCUGGUUGAAGCCGCCUCCAUCAGAUUUGGUCAAUCCAAUGUCUUUUGAGUCGUUUGUGGUUUGUGGUUUGGUCCUUCCUGCUCAUCUCUUCCCUGAUUUCCGGUUUUCAAAGGACGUAUGCUUUUGUCUUGUCAGUUUUAUCCUUCUCAGUCUCCACUCUGUCAAUUAGGAGUCUUUUUUCUAUCACGGUGGUUUCAUGUCUCUGAUAUCCUGUCGAUGCCUCGUUCUUAGUGGUGAAGAGGUUUUAUGCGAUGAGGCUAUGUUUCUUUAGUUUGGGUCUGGUUCAAGAAAGUGGUUCUUGUCAUCUUCAUGAGGUUUAGUGUUCUUGUUAUGGUUUCAGUCAAGCUGCGAAUUAGUUUGGGUUUGGAUGGGUUUUUGAUAUUAUUCUUAUGUUUUUGAUACUUGCUUCUGGCUUCAUUUGGCGUUUUCAGAUAGUGUCUUUAAGGCUCUUGGCUCUUCCAGCGGUUAUGUUGAUGCUAUUUGUAUAAUUAUGAUUCUGAUGGAAAGAUUUGUAUGGAGAUGUUUAAUUUUUAGCUUGUUUUCAAUGUCUUAUGAAAAUGUCGGCUUAUGGUUUCAGUUGAUAUCUAUAGAAAUAUUUUCUUAAGACUUUUUUAGUCUUAGUA